UAGUCCACGCCGUAAACGGUGAUUACUGGUUGUAGGCGAUACAUUGUCUGUGACUGAGCGAAAGUAUUAAGUAAUCCACCUGGGGAGUACGUCGGCAACGAUGAAACUCAAAGGAAUUGACGGGGGCCCGCACAAGCGGUGGAUUAUGUGGUUUAAUUCGAAGCAACGCGCAGAACCUUACCUGGGCUUGAAAUCCUACGAAGCUGGCUGAAAGGCUAGUGUGCUCUUCGGAGAACGUAGUGACAGGCGCUGCAUGGCUGUCGUCAGCUCGUGUCGUGAGAUGUUGGGUUAAGUCUCGCAACGAGCGCAACCCCUAUCUUUAGUUGCCAGCAUUAAGUUGGGCACUCUAGAGAGACUGCCUGGGCUAACCAGGAGGAAGGUGGGGAUGACGUCAAGUCCUCAUGGCCCUUAUGUCCAGGGCUACACACGUAAUACAAUGGUGCAUACAAAGGGAAGCGAUCGGGCGACCGUUAGCAAAUCUCAAAAAGUGCAUCUCAGUCCGG
rnacentral:rRNA from 1 species